CCUACGGGUGGCUGCAGUGGGGAAUAUUGCGCAAUGGGCGAAAGCCUGACGCAGCGACGCCGCGUGUGUGAAGAAGGCCUGCGGGUUGUAAAGCACUUUCGGUUGGGAAGAAAAGUUUGGCGCCAAUACCGCCGAACCUUGACGUUACUGACAGAAGAAGCACCGGCUAACUCUGUGCCAGCAGCCGCGGUAAUACAGAGGGUGCAAGCGUUAGUCGGAAUCGCUGGGCGUGUAGCGUGCGUCGGUGGUCAAAGCCCCGGGCUUAACCUGGGAACUGCAUUCGAUACUACAUGGCUAGAGUAUGGUAGAGGGAAGUGGAAUUUCCGGUGUAGCGGUGAAAUGCGUAGAUAUCGGAAGGAACACCAAUGGCGAAGGCAGCUUCCUGGACUAAUACUGACACUGAGGCACGAAAGCGUGGGUAGCAAACAGGAUUAGAUACCCUAGUAGUC
rnacentral:rRNA from 1 species